UCCCUGGAAGUCCAGUGGCACGGCUCAGCACUUUCACUGCUGAAUCCCAGGUUCAACCCCUGGUUGGGGAA
rnacentral:tRNA from 1 species